GGAGACGAUUAAAAUUUGAUUAAAAUUAGAAAUCUCAUCGGCAGCUGGCGGUCGGAGCAUGUUCCGACGCAGCGAUUGCUGGUACAGCGCGGUAUGUUGCAUCCACUAAACGAUAACUACAUAAGUAAAUGUACUUGAAAUACAUUAUAUACAUACAUAUACAUAUACAUAUACAUAUAUAUACAUAUACAGUACAGUACAGAUAGGUGUGUGUAUAACUAAGGCAAAGAAGAAUCGGUGCGGAAUCGGUGCCAUUCCAUAACCCAAAUUACUUAUUGUACGAUUAGAGGGUAUGGGUAGGCGCUUGAAUUGAAAUUGGAGCCCUUUUUUGACCGUUACUGCGGCCCUGGGCGUUUCCGUGUGUGUGUGUUGGUGUUCAUUUUUUGAAUAAUUGGAAAGCGAAAUUAGUUUUAACAUAAAAAUUGCAUUCAAUAUAAGGCUGAUUUAUUUGACUUGUUCAUUUUUGAUAUACUCACACGAGAACACACACACACACUCUCGCAUAUCAGCCAGGCAGGCAGCGAACGGUGCUAAAAAACACUUGGAAAAGAAAAACAAACAAAACCAUUGGAAAUUCCAUUUAAAUUUAAGUGCAUUAUGUCGGUUAGUACAUACAAUUUAGUGAGUAUCAAGCAAAAAGACUUGCGCAUCAUUUACUUAGCUGCGUAUCCAUUAAUCUCAUUCACAUGCCAUGAUUUCUCCUGUAAAACUAUUACUCCAUGCACCCCAUUUAACCAUCCAUGGCAAGAACACACGGCAAAGAGCUGAAGAGCUGGAGACAGCUGAAAGGGCAGCAAUUUCCAUUGCAUGCCCCCAGGCGUCGCAAGCGAAACGUUAGUGGUCUUCCUGUAUGCGUUUUUAAUAUGAUUUUUUGGCCAAAUGAGUUAAAGAAUAAUUAAAUAAAAAUGCCUGCAAUGAGAGCUUAGAUAUAGCUCUCCUUUAAGCCCAAAAUAAAUGAGAAAACUCCCAGGGAAGACCACUGUUGUUGGAUAUAGAGGAACGAAUGAUAACUGCUUUACACUGCCAGCAAGACACGCUCACGCCCGAACGAUUCAUUCAUUCAUCGCCUUCUCAAAAGUCUUGAUGCAAUUCUGAUGAAAGCAAUAAGCUGUUUAUACAAUCAAAGUCUUUCUACUGCGAAUAGUUUCACACUUCAUGCAUUGCAUCGCAUUUCACCCAAUCCACGAAUCAAUCAAUCAACAAUAUUCAUGUAUGUAUACAUAUGACAUAUGAACAUUCUUGUAAACUGACUGAAACUUCAAAGUAAACCAAAACUAAAAUACGAAGGGAGAUAUUGUAUAAGGAGAAGAGUUAAAUCAUCUGAGAAUGGAGGAGAGGCCUCUGAGAGCAGCUAAAUUGUUGCUUAAGCUAAGUGAAAGCGUAAAUUAAAUUCAAUAAUAGUUUUUAAAUAAGUUUUUCUACCCAGGCAGCAAGUAUGCAGUUGUUGUAACUUUUUUACAAUUUAAAAUUUAUGAUAAUUGGCAAGACAAUUUUGUUGUUAAAACUGAAACUGAACGAAAAAGGCAAAAUUCAAUAAAUUGUAUUCAAUUAUUUUGCAUUGAUUGGCGCACGGAUAGAACCACAAGAUGUCUUCAAAAUUGGCUAAAUGUAAACUUAAUUUCAAGAGACUUUUAGUUCUGGGCAUUUCCCAACCCCAGCAUUUUGGCAACUCAGACAGACGUCGCAAGUAAAAUUAAUAUUUAAAAUUAAAUAAAAAUGAAUACCCUAACACUUAAAUAUUGUAAAAUUAACAAUAAUCGGUUUAGUUGAUCGUGUUUUGUAAGAUCUAGACGAUAUGAGAGAUACUUUGAAUGACUUGACUUGACUUGAUUAAAUUUAGACGUACGCUCGUACCCAUAAGGGGCACACCCCAGCCCCAGCCCCACACCCCAGCCCCACACCCCACACCCACCACCCACACAGCACACACCCCAGCCAGCAUUCAUCAUUGCCAUGUUUCCAACACUUUUGCAGUAACUCAUCGUGUUUGUCUAUAUAGUUCGUAAUCUAUGAAAAAUGAAAAAAAUCUCUAUAUAUUGUUGUUGUGUCUACUAAUCUAUAGAAGUUUACUUCCCAAUCGGAUUGAGAUUGUGAGACAUUAUGGUGUAUGUCUAUUGUAUGUUAAGUUGAAUCGAUGGCAUCCCAUCCACAUCCCUGUUUUGUUUGAAUUGUUGACUCUUGUUUGCUGUUACAUGAAGAUACUCAUCAUAAAUGAUACUUACGCCCUACUAGAAUAGUUAGAAUAGAACAUACUCCAAAAGGGAGAGAGAGCAGAGAGCAGAGAGCAGUCGCAAAAAUGAUCACCGCAUGACAAGGUACAAAAAGAGAGGAGCACCCACACAGACACAGAGGGGGAGAGGGGAGGAAAGCCGACCCUGGAGCAGGUGAAAGCUAAGCAGACACAAAAACACACACAAGAACACACAUAGUAAGAGUAAUUAAACAAGUUAGUAUAACUGAGUUUGCAUUUCCAAAACCGAAAAACGAAAAAACCAAAACUAAACCAAGUAAUUAACCAGCAACUAAGUGUCGUGUAUAUUCCAUGUUAAACUUACAGCAGUAUAAACAAAUAAUUAAACAUUAAACAUACAUAUAUUAUAUAUGUACAUAAUCUAACCCGAUAUAUGAUGAACAGAGCAGCUCCUUUCCGAUGGCAAGUGACGAAUGUUCAUGCAUACAUAUACCUAUACAUAUAUGCAAGUACUCCUAGACACAUACUACAUAUACAGCUACAGAUAAAUAGAUGUGCAUAAUGAAUGUAAAGCCAUAAAUAUACAUACAUGUAUACAGUUGUCUCAAUGUGAAAUAAGCUUAAACCAACUACAACCACAGAAAAUGUAACCAGAAACUAGCCAAGCCCAGCACUGCAACAACCUAACACCCGAGGACCCAAAAUGUAAGCAAAACACUUGUGACCCCUACUCCCUACCUAAAAUACCUACCAUACUAAACAAUACAUAAAUACAUACUGUACUUAAUCGUAAAGUAGUUACAGAGCAGCAGAGAUGUUUGACACUUCAAUUGAACAUUGGUGAGAAUCGAGUACCUAUGAAACUGACAGAGAUACAUAGAUAUGUAGAGCCUGCACCGCCGCACCCAAAUACCGCCCCGAUGCAUCGGGACUGUGCCGGGUAGUGGUCGGUUGGCAACUAUAUUUUUUGCAAAGCAAAUUGUGCAACAGAAACUAAAUGCAGAAACGUUUUAAGCGCAGAUACAGAAACAUUUUUAGAGAUACUCGUACGAAAAAAAAAGAAAACAAAAAGGGAAACAAAAACAAAAACCAAACACACAUAUUGUAUGUACAUUGCACAGGCUACAGAUCGUACACGAAUAUACAUAGUAGAUAUAUUUUGCGUCUUUGUAUACAGGAAACAGCAGCAUAUUAUAUUUGUAUAUUUACAACCAGUGUACAGAUCAGAACAUAAAAUACUUACAGGUGCGAAAGCUGAACGGAGAGUUAGAGUUACACUUAAGUAGGUCUUGUUGGCUCGGUUGGCUUUUUAUGCUUCACAUUUUCCCCCAUCAUGAACUACUCUUAAGAGCCCCGUUUCCAGACCAAUCAUUACGAGUACUACAUAGAUAAAUGUCUCUCCACCUGUAACACCCAUCCCAUCAUCUCUCUCUCUGCAUAUGUAUCUAUAUCACUCACACACUCCAAAACAGACACCACCCACACACAUAACAUUAACUUUUACAUCAUUCUCAUAGGAAAAAACCCCUAAAAAUAAAACUACAUUUUCAAAACUAUUUUAAGCGAACGAAAAUAUACAACAAAAACAAAAAAAGCAAGAAAAAAACAAAAAAACGAAAAGAAAACAGAAAUACAAAUAAAAAAAUAAUAAUAUUU
rnacentral:lncRNA from 1 species